UGUGCCCCGUUCUGGCAAAAGAACAAGAUGGGUUGCAAGCCAGAAUGAUGAAUUCCACUUUUAACGUCGUCUCCGUGGCAUUCUGCCUAAAUGAUGGGCAUGGAAAUGGUGCUGAGGGAUGUGGGCUGAAUCGAGAACACAGGGACUUUUGUCUUCAGGGUCCCUAGAUGUUGAGAAGCUCUGGACUGAAGCUGUCACAAAAAUAGUCCAGUUCAAGAGACUUCUCCAGGGAGACUUCCAUCACAUCUCCAGCUGUCACCAAUUGCCCAUGACAUUCACUAUUUAAUAAUUUGGAA